UGUAUGAAUGUAUGUAUGUGUGUAUGUAUGUGCGUAUGUAUGUAUGUGCAUGAAGGGCCCAAAAGAAACCAGAAUUUUGCAAUAUUAUUUUAUUCACUUGGUUUUGCAUGUUUACACUGUUAUCACCUUCAAAGUAUUCUCCAUUUGAAGCAAUGCAUCAAUCUAGAAGUGUUUUCCACUGUUCGAAGCAGUGCUGGAACUCUUGUGAAGUGAUGCCUUAUAACACCUCCGUCAUUUUUUUCUUCAC